UUGAUGCAUUAAAGGGAGAAUCAGAAUAACUCGAGAGGAAGAGGCAGAAGAUUGCACUGAAAGACUUAGAUUACUAAGAUCAGAGGAGGUCUAUGAAGAUCAUAAUCACUAGUAAUGACUGGAUGGAUUGAUGUUAUCGCAAACAGUAAAUUACAGGAGAAUAAAUAUUCACCGUGAGCAUUGGUUCGAUGCUCAAGCAAGGCAUUGAUAAAGUUAAAUCAAUCAAUACGUUCCGAUCGUGAAGAGCAGACUCCACGAAGCAAGACGUAAACUUUUCAGAUUCUUCAAUUAUGCCACAUGCCUUUGCUUACUGAAAGAAAAACACAAUUUGCAUUUAUAGGCAUUUUUAAUGCUAAAAGCGACACUUUGCAAGAGAGUAAUUCAUCAAUUCACACCAGGUCAAGGAAGGAAAAAUUUGUACGGGCAACCAAUAGCUUGGUCAAAGAGAUUUAUGAACUUGUACUGGUCAAAGUCCUGGAGCUCCCCUUCCUCUUGGCAUUAUGAGUUUAUCUACAGAACAUGGACUGCAGUGAUUCAAGAAGACAGGUCAUCACCAUCUUCUCCAGGGCAUCUAGGAGUGGGCAAUAAAUAC